rnacentral:rRNA from 1 species
GAUGAGGACAUCAAUACCAUUGUUAAACCCACAACCCCUAUUGCUAUACAUACUGGACCAAUUACUAGAGCUCUCAAACGCCAAUUAAAUUACCAGGUACUUCCAUUUCUUGGUAAUGGUUCUAAUGUUCAUGAGAAUAUGAUGCUGCCUAAAUUGGAUACAUUUGUUUUGCUUACAAAUGAAGGGCCUAGCUUGGAGAAGGAUGAACAUUGGAGCAAGACCAAGCAUGGAGAUGAUGGCAUGCGCAAGGGGAACAAGAACAGAGUUAUAAGUGAUGAUUUCAGGACUUCGAAGCCACCCUAA